GUUUGUUUGGUUCAGCUUUUUUCUGACAAUUUUUUUUUUAAGAAUCUAGCUGUGAGAAUAAUCUGAGUAUCAUUACGAUUACGUGUGGAAGAAAAUAAAGUUGUUCAUAGGACUCAGGAUCUAGAAAGUGACGGAUUUCUACUAUUACAACGACUCAGCCGAUUAUUUGUUUAUGUUAAUUUUGGAUGGUUUUUGCCUCAACAAAUUUUAUAGAAGUUGGCUGAAGAGCUGAGCGUUUGGCAGUCCGCAACAAUUUUUAUGGCCAUAAGCUGUCAGAAGCAGAAACAAACAUGCCCUUAUUCUCUCUCCGCAAUUGUGAAUAUAGACGUUCUAGCCCCUCUGCAGAUCAAAUACUACAAUCAAAGGGGAAAAAAAAUGCAUUCUUCCCUUCUCCGCAGAACUGCUGGCUGCGCCUCCUGCAGAUCAAAGAGUACAAUCUCAGUUUCUUCCCUUCUCUGCAGAACUGCUGGUUGCGUCUUGCCUUGUUCUGUUCGCAGUCGCUGGGGUCUCCUGGGGAAGUGGCCAGUGAAAGGGGGAGGCGCCGCACCACGGCAGGGACGGUCGCCGGGGUUGCCGGCCAAUGCCCUAAGGCCGGACGCCGGAGCCAGCGGCCCUGGGCCUAGGCGGCGAGCAGGAGGGACCGAGGGAGCUGGGAAUGGGGGAGGCUGGAGGGGCAGAGCCGUGGAGGGAGCUUGGCGAGGAGGCGGCGCGCCGGACCACCGGAGGGAGCUGCGGCUGCUGGAGGUCGGAGCCGGACGGGAGGAUCGACCGGGGGCAUCGGGCGGCAGGCCGGCAGCCGAUUUGGCGGAGUUGAGGGUGCCAGAAAAA
rnacentral:misc_RNA from 1 species